rnacentral:tRNA from 1 species
AGUAUAAUGUCCGAAUUAAAAGGUGAUAAACUGUAAAUUUAUUUAUAAGAAUAAUCUUUUAUACUA